UGGGGAAUUUUGGACAAUGGGGGCAACCCUGAUCCAGCCAUCCCGCGUGUGCGAUGAAGGCCUUCGGGUUGUAAAGCACUUUUGGCAGGGAAGAAACGGCGCGGGCGAAUAACCCGCGCAACUGACGGUACCUGCAGAAUAAGCACCGGCUAACUACGUGCCAGCAGCCGCGGUAAUACGUAGGGGGCAAGCGUUGUCCGGAUUUAUUGGGCGUAAAGAGCGUGUAGGCGGCCAGAUAAGUCUGCUGUGAAAACUCGAGGCUCAACCUCGAGCUGUCGGCGGAAACUAUUUGGCUAGAGUCCGGAAGAGGAAAGCGGAAUUCCUGGUGUAGCGGUGAAAUGCGCAGAUAUCAGGAAGAACACCCGUGGCGAAGGCGGCUUUCUGGGACGGUACUGACGCUGAGACGCGAAAGCGUGGGGAGCGAAC
rnacentral:rRNA from 1 species